GUUGAGAGCUGUAAACAUGAAAUUAAUUUUUCUCGUCUAUAUUCUGAUUAAUUUGAUUGAUUCGAUCAUGGGCAAUCCUUCGGAUAUUUGCAACCUUCCGAAGGUUAAAGGUCCUUGCAAAGCCGGGUAUCACCAACGUUUCUAUUACAAUCCAACUAGCAAAAAGUGUCUUCUAUUUACGUAUGGUGGAUGUCUAGGAAACAAAAAUAAUUUCUUGUCUCUGGAGGCCUGCGAAGCCUCAUGCAAAGGAAAAUAAGUGUUCCCGGUUAAACUAAAGUUUACACAAAAAAGUAAUAAGUAUUAAUUUAAUUUGUAUUAUUUUAUAAAUUGCCUAGUUAUCAGGACCAAAUAAAAGAUGCCGUUUUUUCGGCCGCCUUUUAAAUUUAAA